CGAAGCCAUAAUAAAAAAUAUUUAACUGAUCGAUUUUCUCAUCUCAGUAAGGGCGAGCUAGGAAUCAAUAAACUGAGCUUUUCCAACGGUCGUCGAGAAGUAGAAUUGAUAGGUUGACCAAGAAAUCAAGAUGUGCUUAGUGUUUGUUUGUGAUGAAGAUGAGAGAGUGGUAGGGAGACAAGCAGCGCCUGGGGCAUGUCCUUACUGUGGAGGGAUGAUUCAGGCGAUGGAUAUAGAGAGCCAGUGGAGGUUCUGUUUCUUGCCUCUUUACUUCAAGACCAAAAGGAGGUAUUAUUGCUCUGUUUGUGCCAGACGCUUGGUGCCUCAAUAUUAGGAUUUUCUCUGCUUCAUGUACAUAAUACUUUUAUAUGAAUUUUAAUUGAGUUUUUGUUAUAUCUCACCUUAGAUAUUGAUUUCUAGUCUUCAUUUUUUUUUUUUUUUUUUUUU
rnacentral:misc_RNA from 1 species